rnacentral:rRNA from 1 species
UAGCGAAGGGGGCUAGCGUUGUUCGGAAUCACUGGGCGUAAAGCGCACGUAGGCGGAUCUUUAAGUCAGGGGUGAAAUCCCGAGGCUCAACCUCGGAACUGCCUUUGAUACUGGCGAUCUUGAGUCCGGGAGAGGUGAGUGGAACUGCGAGUGUAGAGGUGAAAUUCGUAGAUAUUCGCAAGAACACCAGUGGCGAAGGCGGACUCACUGGCCCGGUAUGACGCUGAGGUGCGAAAGCGUGGGGAGCAAACAGGG